GUAGUACUCCCUCCGUCCGGAAAUACUUGUCACAGAAAUGCAUAAAAAUGGAUGUAUUUAGAACUAAAAUACGUCUAGAUACAUCCAUUUCUUCGACAAGUAUUUCCGGACGGAGGGAGUACUAC
rnacentral:pre_miRNA from 1 species